UACGUAGGGUGCGAGCGUUGUCCGGAAUUAUUGGGCGUAAAGAGCUUGUAGGCGGUUUGUCGCGUCUGCCGUGAAAAUUCGAGGCUCAACCUCGAACUUGCGGUGGGUACGGGCAGGCUAGAGUGUGGUAGGGGAGACUGGAAUUCCUGGUGUAGCGGUGAAAUGCGCAGAUAUCAGGAGGAACACCGAUGGCGAAGGCAGGUCUCUGGGCCACUACUGACGCUGAGAAGCGAAAGCAUGGGGAGCGAACAGG
rnacentral:rRNA from 1 species